AGUUUUGCGAAGCAUACAAAAUGAUUUCUGCCCAGUGAAUAAGUUUUAACGGCCGCAGUACUUUAACUGUGCUAAGGUAGCAUAAUAAAUUGGCUUUUAAUUAAAGUCUAGUAUGAAAGGGAAAAGGGGGAGAAGCUGUCCCAAAAGUUUUAAUUUGAAAUUAUUUAAAAGGUGAAAAUACCUUUAUAAAGAAAAAAGACGAGAAGACCCUUAGAGCUUUUAUGAAAUAAUUUUACUUAAAUUUUUUGUUGGGGUGACAAACAAGCAAUGAGGAGAUUUCUUUAACCUUGUAGUUUACAAGACGACUUAGUAGAAUUGAUUAAGCUACCUUAGGGAUAACAGCAUAAUUUUAAUAUAAGAUUAUGACCUCGAUGUUGGACUAGGUACCUGAAGGUAAGCAACCUUUAAGGAUAGUUCUGUUCGAACUUUAUCACCU
rnacentral:rRNA from 1 species